GAAAACUGGAGUCGAGCCCCGUUGGGUAGAAUUUUUUAAGAAGACUCACACAAAGAAAAGUGGUUCUUUUGUGAACCCACAUUGUGAGACUUUAUACAAUCAAAUGAAGGAUUUAACAGCUGAAGAAGGCAUUGACAACACAAAGGAAGCUUCCAUAAUGACACAAGUACUAGGGGGCCCCCGAUCUGGCCAUGUUAAAGGCAUGGGGUAUGGUGUCAUACCUACCCCAUCCUCAUCUCGGUUGCGUGAUGUGAUCCAUGUGGACAACCAUGAAGAGUGUAACCAAAAAAUGGAGGCGAUGCAGGAGAAGAUAGAUAUGCUAAUGGCAAUUGUGAUGCCUGGACGAAGCGUGGAAGAUGAUUCAAGCUAGGGCAACCUCUCUUAACAUAGAUCAACUGAAGGUGUUUAUUGGAUUGAUGGUGAUAGUGGGCUUUUGCAUGGUCGCCUAACUAUGUUAAAAUAUGAGCUGUUGCAAUGGGAAAGAUUGGGAAUGAGACAAUUGAGUUUGUGAUUAAAAAAAAAAAAAAAAAAAACAAAACUCAUUAACACCUUUUGUAGUAGUUUGUCUUUUGUUUGUCUUUUUGUAUGUCUUUCCCCCUACUAUUAAGCUCAUGUAGUUGUAAAUUUUUUGUAUUUUAUUUAAUUACGAAGCUUCUUAUAUCUGUU